CUUGAAAAAAAACUUUAUAUAUCUCUAUAAAACAAAAAACCAUUUUCUAACCUCAAAUAAAAAGGUUAGGGUCACGUGGAGUAUUUGACAGUAAUUUCAAAAUGGCUAUCAAAUAAAGAGUGUCCCAAAAUUAACACAAGAUUUGAAUGUUUGUCCAUUUGCACAGCCUGUCACGCUAGCAGUUUACGGUCUUUAAAAUGGAGGACUAGACGAAAAAAGAACACGUCCUCAAUACUGGGUGUUUUAGACCGUGAUAGACCGCCCAAAUCAUAGGAUUUAACAUAAUUGGAUUUUUACCAUGGAGUUUUUUUGAAGUAUGAGUUUUCUGACAACAAGUAUGCGAUGGCUCACGCCUUAAUGAAGAAAAUUCAGUUUUAAAUUUUACCGGAAUUAAU